CAAUUCGUUGCACUAUCGUUAACUGAAUACAUAGGUUAACGAGGCGAACCGGGGGAACUGAAACAUCUAAGUACCCCGAGGAAAAGAAAUCAACCGAGAUUCCCCCAGUAGCGGCGAGCGAACGGGGAGCAGCCCAGAGUCUGAAUCAGCUUGUGUGUUAGUGGAACGGUCUGGAAAGUCCGACGGUACAGGGUGAUAGUCCCGUACACCAAAAUGCACAGGCU
rnacentral:rRNA from 1 species